GGCAGUUUAGUUUAUGACUGUAAUAAAUAUGGGAACGUCCUGUCAGAUAAACCACAACACUCAUACGGUGGUGUGGUGUGGUGUGGUGUGAUCAUACGGUGGUGGGCUUUGUUAAGGUUUUGGGCUUCUGUUGUGGUUGCUUUGUACCUCGAUGCCAUUUUUUUCCUCUAAGGUUAUCCUGGCAUUUUUCAUCAAUCAACUUCUUCUCUGUUUCACCCUGCUUUCUUUGAAUAUGACUUAAUUUUCCUUUAAUAACUUAUAACUGAAUAUGAGCAAUAAUCACAUUUGUUCCUUUAGUUUUUCUAAUGCUUAUUGCUACACAACUUUUUUUCUUCCUUUCUUCCUCUUCUCCUCAUCUUUAUUUUUUCUUUUUUUAAACUUAAAAAGUUUUAACCUGCCUUUUGCAACACUGGUCGGCUCAAGACUCUGAUUUUUCAGUAAACCUAUUUGUAUACACCCACACCUUCCACACAGAAGCACUGAAGCACACAAAUACAGAGAGCACCACGGGUGCAUUUGUACACACAUGGAACCUGACAGUCUCAUUUUCUGCUAUACACACGCAAUCUUCUAACCUUCUAUCAAGCGACCCUGCAUGCCUUGUUCACCCAUUUCCUACACCUCAAACACUCGCACGGCAACUUAAUUAAACCACACUUAAGUCUAGAUUGUUCAGCUGGGUUGUUUGAGAAAAAGUGGACCAGGUAUUAAUCAUGUCGUGGGGCCAUAAAACUGUUUACACAGACACAUUGUGGGGUCUUCUCUUUCGUGUGGGGGACAGAUGGGCAGAUAUUUUUAACGCUAGGCUAAACCUAGCAUUGGGUCAAGUGUCUAAUUGGAAAAAGCUUCAUACAAACGUGCAUAUGUGUGUGUGAAUUACAAAAGGUCAUGGCUUCUUUUGCAUUGGCUCUUUUUCCUUGUUGUGAAAAUGAAGUGACCUUUGACCUAUUAAUACAUUCUAAAGCUACCCUUACUUGCCUCCUGCCCAUCUUUCAUUCAUUUGGUCCCCUGAUUUUUUUCUUCCUAUUUCUCUGGCUCUCUGUCUGUCCGUCUGCAUGUACC
ensembl:lncRNA